GAGAAAAAUGUAUAGCUCCAUAAAGAUCAAUAAUUAAAAAAAUUAAAAAAUAAAAAUAGACUAGCAUAAGAAUAUUGUCGUUUUACAUAUUUUGUCCAGUUUAUUAUUUGGAAGGUAAACUUGGCCUCUCUUAUUCCAUCUUAGUCAGAAGUAAAAAUCUCAAAUAUAUUCUUUGUAUGUUGGGAUGUGUAUUAUAAACAGGACCGUCUGUGACAUACAUCCACAAGUAAUGCAUUUCCACCUAUACAAAGGCUCAACCAGGUACGAAUACCACCCUUUCUCAGAACCGUCCUAACUUGUACCUCCUGGGGACUCGGUAGCUUAUAUAAAGAUUAGACUUGAGUUUAAGUGGCUUAAAUAAUUAAGACCCUGUACUCAAGGCCAGGAGAAAUCAAGUCUAGCCCUUACAAAUGCACGGAUCAGUUUUACUAGGAGCAGAUACCAUCAGCAGAGAAGCAAGUCUCAGGUGCCAAUCAACUUGAUGGACAGCAGUGCCCAGGCAGGGAGGAGCUCAGAGGGCCAUCUGGCUUGGCAUGGGAAAGAGAGAAGAAGAAUACCAGCCUGGCAUUCCUCACAGACCUCCGGAAAAAAACUAGCAUGAGUUAUAGUCUAGAUAUAAGUAAGGAAUGUUGAGGCUCUGAGUCGUCUCUAGGAUCUCAUGGCACUUAGUAGCUGAGUGAGUGUCACUUCUAAGACACAUGUACAAGUGGCAUUGGUAGCGGGUAAGAUGCAGAAGGACGGACAUUAUGCCCUGAAGAUACAACUGUUUGUACUACAGUUUGCUCACCUGUUAGUGAUUGCUUGACUAAAAAGCCAUCCCUAUUCCUGUUUGAAUGGACCACCCAGGGAGCACACUGUAAACUAUUAUGAGAUUUGGAGCUGAAUAGACCUGAAUUCAAAUUCCACCUCUGACACAGAGUGGGACUCUCGGCAUCUCCGAGUCUCCGUUUCUUCGUUUUUUAAAAUAAUACAGCAUUUUGUUGUGAAGAAUAUUUUAUAGGAGUCUUGGCUCAUCAUAGUCACUCAGGAAACAUAGCUAUUAUCACUAUUCUGACAGUUACUCGAGGAAGAAAUGGUGACAAAGGUGGCAGCUCUUCACUUGUCAAAUGAGGACAUGCAGUAUCCUGAAAUGAAGUCCGUCCGAACCUAGAAAACCCCCAGUCUAGUUUAUGUGCUAGAAAACCCACAGUUGUCUGGAUAUUGUGAGGACAGUUAUCAUAGGCCAGCUGAUACCCUUUUCAGGUCUACCUUUCCCUGAAGACUCAGUCUUUCCCAUGACAGUGGCCUCUGCCCAAGCUCUGGAAAGCAGGGUGAAGACUGCUUUGGCUCCCCAUUGAAGGCUGAGCAUUGCCUGGCACUGUGUGUACCAAGGGCCCUUUAACCCUCAGCCUGGUUAAAGGGUGAAGGUGGUUGAGCUUGAGAGCAGACCAGGCCUAAGAGCUACUGGGAUCUGCUGCCAUGGACCAAGUCAAGAAACCUGUUUAGGAGGACAAACAAGUGUCCCGACAGCUGAUGUGUGACCCUGGCAGGCUUCUGUGGCUGUGGGAGGUCAUAUUCAUCCAUACUCGUCAGCAGAAGCAAGCUCAACCUGCCUUCCAGAAGGACACUUGACCUCAGAGUGGAGCCAAACCCGGAGAAUGACAUGCUUGGGGUCAGUCAGCAAAGGAACUGAAUUCCGGAUUACUAACACUAGAGUGAUCUUAGCCAGUCACAUGUCAGCUCCGGCAUCUUUCAGAUGAGGAAACUGAGGCCAAAGAAGCACUUGGAGAAGAACCCAUGAGAUAUGCCCCACCCCUACCCUCGCUGCUUACUCCGUGUUGGCUUUAUUAACAUUUGCUGUUCAGUGGGCGUGUCACGUUCUGGGCUCGGGAAAAGGAGGACAUUUUUACCCUACGCAGUUGACAGUGACUGCUUAAUCUUUUUGUCUUUGAAUCCGCAUCUUCGUCUUCAUCUUUGAGUCCACAGGCUCAUACCUCUCAGUAGUAUGAGAGGUUUUUUUUUUUUCCACUAGGAUUGGAAUUCUUAAAGUGAAGUCGUGUUUCAGUUCGACCCCUGUGGCUUGUUUUUGCCAACUUGACACAAAACUCAACAUAGCUAGGAAUAGAGAAUUACAAGUGAGGAAUUGCCUGCAUCAGAUUGUCCUGUGGACAUGUCUAUAAGGCACUUUCUUGAUUCAUGAUGGAUGUGGGAGGGCCCAGAUCAUUGUGGGUGGUGCCACCCUUGGGCAGGUGGCCUUGGUUGUAUAAGAAAGCAAGCUGAACAAGUGUGGGAAGCACUGCUUACCCAGCCUUCCUCCAGGGCCUCUGCUUCCAUUCCUGCCCCCAAGUUCUUGCCCUGAGUUCCUGCCAUGGCUUCCCACAGCGAUGGAUUGCGGGCUGGAAAUUUUAAGAUGAAAUCAACCCCUUUAUCCCUAAGUUGGUUUGGAUCAGUGUCUUAUCAGAGCAGGAGAAAGUGAACUAGGCUACACCCCUUUUCGGAACAUCAUUAGGGCCCGUGGGCUCUCUCUUAGUAUUCGUCAGUCUCUCAACAGUUUUCUUCCUCUACAGGCCAGACACAGUCCCUUCACUUCCCCUCUGUGGCAGUUCAAAUGAGAACGCCCCACGUAUGCUCACAUAUUAGAUCACUUUAUCCUUGGGGGGAUGGUGGUGAGGAUGUUUGGGGAGGUGUGGCCUUGUUGGAGGACGUUAGUCACUGCAGGCAGCCUAGAGAGUUUAAACGCCCACCAUUUCCAGUUCGCUCUCUCUUUUUCUCCGUUUCAUGCUAACAGCUCAAGAUGAGCACUCUCAGCUUCCUGUUCCUGCUGCCAUGCCUGCUGCCCUGCUUCUCCACCGUGAUGGCCGGAAGGAGGUCCUUAUUCCUCUAGAACUGUAUGUCCAAAUAAACCCUUACAAACA